rnacentral:rRNA from 1 species
AGAGUUUGAUCCUGGCUCAGAAUGAACGUUGGCGGCGUGGAUUAGGCAUGCAAGUCGAACGAGCCUCUGGGGGGUAACUCCUAGAGGAAAGUGGCGAAAGGGGCAGUAAUGUAUGGGUAACCUACCUUGAGGUCUGGGAUAGCUAUUCUAACGGAUAGGUAAUACCGGACGGCCUGAGUUGUCGGCAUCGAUGAUUCAGUAAAGGUUACGCCUCGAGAGGGGCCCAUAUGAUAUUAGCUAGUUGGUGAGGUAAUGGCUCACCAAGGCAAAGAUGUCUAGCGGGUGUGAGAGCACGACCCGCGUCACUGGCACUGAGACACUGGCCAGACUCCUACGGGAGGCUGCAGUCGAGGAUCUUCGGCAAUGGACGCAAGUCUGACCGAGCAACGCCGCGUGUGCGAUGAAGGCCUUCGGGUUGUAAAGCACUGUCGAGGGGAAACAAGCCGUAAGGUUGAGUGACCCCUGGAGGAAGCACGGGCUAAGUUCGUGCCAGCAGCCGCGGUAAGACGAACCGUGCAAACGUUAUUCGGAAUCACUGGGCUUAAAGGGCGCGUAGGCGGGUAAUCAAGUCAAUGGUGAAAGCCUCCAGCUUAACUGGAGAAGUGCCUUUGAUACUGAUUGUCUAGAGUGAGGUAGGGGCAUGUGGAACUUCCGGUGGAGCGGUGAAAUGCGUAGAUAUCGGAAGGAACGCCAGUGGCGAAAGCGAUGUGCUGGACCUUUUCUGACACUGAGGCGCGAAAGCUAGGGGAUCAAACGGGAUUAGAUACCCUGGUAGUCC